CUCCUCUGAGCUAGCUUUUGGGAGUGAGUUCUACACCUAGCUUAUGGCAUGAUACGAGCCUAUUAUGGGAUGUGUUGGUAUCAAGAAGUUAAAGCUCUCAAUAGUCGAGCUUUUUUCCAGCUAAAAAUGUAACAUAUUUCUACAAAUGCAACUGAUGUCGGUUUUGGUAUAGUGGGAGGUGUGCAUUAUAUGGAUAUUGAUGGGAAUGGAAUCUUGAGGUAACAUUAAGGUUACGAAUUGUAUGGACAUUGACACUUUGGGAGGGUAUUUAAAAAUUACAUAAGACAUGAACCCUUCAUGUUUGAUUAUCAAUUUAAAUCUCAUGUCUGGUAACAGAACAUAGUAACGUUUUCUGGUACUUGGUCUAAGUAGUGUUUAACCAAGAGCUUAACAAGCUUUUAUACUCUGUAAAGGAUGACGAGCAUGACUUGGAAGUUGACACUGCAUCAUCUGCAACUCAAGCUGAGAUUUAGCGUUACUUGCUUCUGCUUUCUUGAUUGAUCAGAAAAUAUACAUCAGUGUCUCGGGGUGAAGUGACAACAAGAGGAUCUGAAGCCUAAAACGCUUUCUAUGUAAUAGAUUCAUCGGGGGAUCAAGUGAACUAAUACGAUUUAAGCAGUAAGAAAUGCAAACGGUGAGACCGUACUUAAGGUGAAGGAAGACAAUAUUGACAAAUGCAAAAUUACCUUGGCAACAAACAGGCGGGUUGAUUGAUAGGGGUAUUAUGCAUGGUUUGGUGCAUGCCCCACCUUUGCUUGUUAUUAUGCGUGGUUGGUCUGUGGUUAAAUCUGCAAAACGUGGGUGGGCAGCAGGUCAAUAAGUGUGCCUUUAUUGUGUAUGAUGGUGAACUUCUUUUCAGUUGGAACUAGCAUAUAUGCGUCUCAAUCAAUAUAUUGGACCAGUGCAUGACACUUUAUAGGACUUGAUAAUCCACCGUGGCUGGCUGGCUGCACACACCUCGUCUGUUUAUGGCCGAGUUAAUUUAUAAGAUGCUUGGUUUACGCGAGGCGAAGCGGGAGGAUACCAUGUGAAUGCCUCACCUACAUGGAGGACUGGAGGUGAGGCAAAGAUGAAGUGAGGGGGAUAUGUGCACAAAUGGGAAAAGGCGAUGGAUUUCCAAUAGUUUGCCAAAGAUUUCUUGAGAUUUAUAUAGUUUAGCCCCUUUAAUGAAUCUAUAAAAUCGUGGAAAUUGGAAAAAAAAAUGGCAGAUUUAUAAUUGUUGAAAGUGUAAAAAUGGCGGAAGUAGGACUCUUGUUGAAGACGAACAUAUACGUGGAUGAAGUGAGUAGGCCCAAUUUAUCUAGAAGAUGUUUUUAUUUCAACUUUUCAUUUAAAACCUUUGAGUUUUAGGUUCCGUUUUUUGAAUAUAAAAAGUUUCAGGAAACUACAUCCAAGCUUUGGUA